rnacentral:rRNA from 1 species
GGGGAGCAAAACAGGAUUAGAUACCCUGGUAGUCCACGCCGUAAACGAUGUAAUGCUAGUUGUUGGUGUCUUUAAGAUCGUGAGUAACAGCAGCUAACGCACUAAGUUGACCGCCUGGAGAGUACGGCCGCAAGGUUAAAACUCAAAUGAAUUGACGGGGGCCCGCACAAGCGGUGGAGCAUGUGGUUUAAUUAGAUGCAACGCGAAGAACCUUCCCAUCCCUUGACAUCCAGUGAAAUUUCCAGAGAUAGAUUGGUGCCUUUGGGAACAAUGAGACAGGUGCUGCAUGGCUGUCGUCAGCUCUUGUUUUGAGAUGUUGGGUUAAGUCCCCCAACGAGCGCAACCCUUAUCCUUAGUUGCCAGCACGUAAAGGUGGGCACUCUGGGGAGACUGCCGGUGAUAAACCGGAGGAAGGUGGGGAUGACGUCAAGUCAUCAUGGCCCUUACGGGAUGGGCUACACACGUGCUACAAUGGUGAGUACAAAGGGCAGCGAACUUGCGA